UUGAUUGGAAAGAGUGAAAGAUCUUUGUCUGCCAGCUGAACUCUUCUGUUUUCAGUGCAAGCAACAGUCCAAACCUCCCACAGUGUCCUGCCAAUGUGCCUUGACUGACUUGGAGGAUACCAUCUCCAGGGGUGAAAGGGCAGAUCAUUCUCCAUGGCCAAUGAGUCCUUGGCUUCU
rnacentral:sRNA from 1 species